rnacentral:lncRNA from 1 species
UUGCCAAUACAACCACCCUACACACAAGACCACAAACCCUUGGCAUUUUGUUCUCUCUUCUAAAAAACUGCCACCAUACUGCAGCAGAAAAAAGAAGAGAACCUUGGCAAGUACAUUUUCAAAACAAUAGGGCAUUAACUUAGUCCCAUUUCUUCUGUCAUGAGAGGCCAUUAGCAGACCAACAAAACCAGCAUAACAUUGCAGCAGGAAGUGGUUUCACCUUGUC